CCUGCCCCCCCCAUGUCCACAUCAUUUUCUCCUAGAUUCGCUGUGUGGCCCGCGGAGAGCUCCGUGCUUUCUACGAGGCCUGGCGGACACCCAGGGGCGGGCGCCUCUUUCGCUUUGUCGGCCAUUUUGAUGACUUACCGGAAGGUGCUGGUGCUGGCCGGAAGGCUACACAAUUAUUUUCAUUGACUUAAAAGGCUACUUAUUAGAAAUUCCAUGAAAUUAUAGGUUUGGAUGUUCUAGAGCUACGCUUUCCUGAUAUGAAAAAAAGGACACAAUUUGAUGCUCCACAUUAUAUAUGUUACACCUCACCAGCGCCGGAGGAAGAGACUUGGAGUGAAGAGACUUCCUCUUACUGAGGCAACAUGCGAAGGCAACAGGAUGAAAGAGAAGAGACAUGUCGUCUAACAAGCAGUGAUCCUCCCAACUGCGGUGCAGCCACAUCGAUUUUAAUUGACGCAUGAGACACCAAGUGGCUGGAAUUUCUUCAUGUACUUCAGCCCAAACAACAUAUGGCGAAGGCAUGAAUGCAGCAGCUGGGCGAAGCCUACCGUCUCUAGACCCAGACGUUAAAUGAUCUGUCCUAAUGGAAGGCGUUGCUAGUCUUCUCACCAACUUUUUGGAAUAAAAAUGUUUGAUAAUAUAUAAUGACUUUAUAAUUGACAUUUUAAGAAACAAUACUGCAAAAAUUUGCAAUUUGAAUUUCUAAGAUGGUCAGUGUCACUGGGCUGAAACUACAUAAAUACAAGUCCUUUGGGUUCCUUAAUGAUUAUGAGCAUAUCGGGGUCCCAACACUUGCAAGUUUGAGAACUGCUGAGCCCUAUGAAAGCAGAAGCUGAAGCUCAGGCACA